rnacentral:rRNA from 1 species
GAUGAACGCUGGCGGCGUGCCUAAUACAUGCAAGUCGAGCGAACAGACGAGGAGCUUGCUCCUCUGACGUUAGCGGCGGACGGGUGAGUAACACGUGGAUAACCUACCUAUAAGACUGGGAUAACUUCGGGAAACCGGAGCUAAUACCGGAUAAUAUAUUGAACCGCAUGGUUCAAUAGUGAAAGACGGUUUUGCUGUCACUUAUAGAUGGAUCCGCGCCGCAUUAGCUAGUUGGUAAGGUAACGGCUUACCAAGGCAACGAUGCGUAGCCGACCUGAGAGGGUGAUCGGCCACACUGGAACUGAGACACGGUCCAGACUCCUACGGGAGGCAGCAGUAGGGAAUCUUCCGCAAUGGGCGAAAGCCUGACGGAGCAACGCCGUGUGAGUGAUGAAGGUCUUCGGAUCGUAAAACUCUGUUAUUAGGGAAGAACAAAUGUGUAAGUAACUAUGCACGUCUUGACGGUACCUAAUCAGAAAGCCACGGCUAACUACGU